AGCAGCCGCGGUAAUUCCAGCUCCAAUAGCGUAUAUUAAAGUUGUUGCAGUUAAAAAGCUCGUAGUUGAAUUUCGGGGUCAGUAGGUUGGUCGUGCCACGGGUAUGAACUGGUCUCACUGAUUCCUCCUUCCUGAUGAACCGUAAUGCCAUUAAUUUGGUGUUGCGGGGAGACUGGACUGUUACUUUGAAAAAAUUGAGUGUUUAAAGCAGGCUAACGCUUGAAUACAUUAGCAUGGAAUAAUGAAAUAGGACGUUCGGUCUUAUUUUGUUGGUUUCUAAGAUUGACGUAAUGAUUAAUAGGGAUAGUUGGGGGCAUUAGUAUUCAAUUGUCAGAGGUGAAAUUCUUGGAUUUAUUGAAGACUAACUACUGCGAAAGCAUUUGCCAAGGAUGUUUUCAUUAAUCAAGAACGAAAGUCAGGGAUCGAAGACGAUCAGAUACCGUCGUAGUCUUAACCAUAAACUACGCCGACUAGGGAUCGGAUGAUGUUAAUUUUUAAUGUACUUCAUUCCGCGCCUUAC
rnacentral:rRNA from 1 species